UGCUGGAUGAAGAAUAGAAAGAACGAGAGAAGAAGGUUGGAGCAAUAACUGUAAUGAAAGACAUUUUCUUCCUUUGAAACACAGUUCAGUGCCCGUGAGCUGCAAAAACCCAGGUCUCCUCCAAUUUCUCUGACUUGGGACCCACAAGUUUCACAGUAAUGAGCCUACAACUGCCCAGAGCGGGCUUCUGACAUUAGAUGGAGUCUGAAGCAGUAUGGAAUAAAUGCAUCUCUUUCUAGGGCAAAAGUAAGGGAGUAUGCUAUGAAAUUAAGGCCCCAUGAUUACAUUUUUUUUUUUUUCUUGGUGUAAGGAUGUCAACUCUUAUGAGCCACUUAGAUUCAUUUCAAGGCUGUUGCAAAUCUGUAGGAGUGAAUGUAUGUUGCUGAGUAAGUUGAGAGCUUUUUUUAAGAAAGGGCAUAGUCCUAUACCAAAUGUUGCUCAUGAAGGUGGCCCCAGAGCUGUUACCCCAGAUUGAAGGCUGGUAGCAGCUCCUUCACAGUGAGCCCACACAAAUCCUAUUUUUGUGUCUAUUAGAGAACAGAUGUCAUGUGUAUGCAUCAGCAGAUUUAUCCAGACGCCCGUCACUCCAAGCGGGAGGACUGGUGACCUGAGGCCUGACAUCUGCCUGCUGCAGCAGAAUUGAAAGACACCAACUGACUUUCAGGAUGUGGAAACCACCUAAGCAGACUUGAAAUUAUGAAGACAGGUGUCUGACCUGAACAGGUGAAAAUCACUUGCUAAAAAUAGAGGUUAGUUCAGGGUAGAAGAGACGUGACCUCUUUCACACCUUGGUUCACCAACAAUAUCUACGGAAAACACCUGUGACAGAUCCCUUCAGCAAAAUAUCCACAGGAACAAGGUGGUAAAAUUGUAGUUAUGCUGCUUUUCUACUGCUGUCUGUGAUACUCAUCGUAGAAGGAAAUACUGUGCCUGAGAGACUGAGCCACACAAUUGCAGUAACUUGGGACAAACGAGGCAAAACUCAAAAGCAGAAAGUAAAGUAACCAAGAGACUUGGCAGCCCACGUCAGGGCUGCCAGCUCCAGCAAUGAACCAAAUUUAGAAGCUGUUAUGUGAAGAAUCUACAGGACAUUAAAUUUAAAUGGUUUCCCUGCAUAAAUACCUCCUAAACUAGGUGUGAUGGCGAGAUGAGUGCUAUGGCUCCCAGGAGGGUCGGUCUCGGCAGUGCUCCCGCAGUCAGGGUGCACCUGGUGAGGCGCUCAGCUGGCACGUGCAGGAUCCGGCCCCUCUUUGAGGCUUCGUGUCUGUACAAAAGGCAAGUCUGGUCCUGGAGAUGAUUUCAACUGGUUCAGGAUUUUCUACAGUUUUCAUUAAAGGUCUGAGUGCAGCGGGGAUUUGAUUUCCUUUUCUGCAGCCAUCUGUAAGACUUGUGAGAACAGCUGCUCCUAGAGCGGGUGCCAACUCCUAGAUUUCCUAGGAGAGAAGCUAACAAGGUUUACGGAGGUCUGUCUUUUAGAUCAACCAAGGCUGUCAUUGGAUAUUGCUGGUUUUGCUUUAUUAAACAGAUACUAAAUUUAUUUAAAAUUAGUAAACACCUGGAACAGAGUAACAUUCUCAAAAAAUUUCUGUGUAGAGACUGGAAAUUGCCACAGUGAGGAACCUUUAUUGGAUGAAUGUGUGAUAAAGACAGUUUCUGAUCAUAUUUUUAAUAGCUUAUUCAUAAUUUCAUCCAUGGAAGCAAGAGCUGAAGCAAACUGAAUACACCAAAAUAGGUAAAUAUAAACAAUAUUCAAAACUGGUCUAAAAUGAAUAGAAAGCAUGUGUAUAUCAUGUUACGUGAUAAAAUCUAAUACAGACAUUCGGAUAAUGAAAUUACCUGUUGAGAAGUUAUUCAGGCAAAUUCCAAUGGGCCUGUGUAUUUGAACAAUUUAACAAAUCCUAGAGUUUAAUUUCCAGUGUUGACUCUGCUUAAGAACAGAGAAGUCACAUGUGAAUAUGGCUUGGCUCAUCAUCUGAUGUUCCUCACAGACAUUUAAGGUCUCUGUCCAUUAAAUGGUGCUGGCUCUUUUGUUUUCUUUAAAAAAAAAAAAAAAAAAACUUUUUCUGUCAGCGUGCUUUGCUUCGUAAUGCUACUUAUUCACUUGUUUAUUCAUUUAUUUAUUAUUUUAUUUGUCCACUUUUGUUGAGGCAAACUUUUUUGAUGGUUCUCUCCAAUUUAGAUAUUCCAGUCUACCAGGUUCGAGUUGUCAUUGUUAUUAGUGUUUCAGAUCACAACCAGCACAGAAGAAAACCCAAAACCCAUCACAAAAAUGCUGCCGAUAGCCAAGUAAACUCCCUUAUUACACAAUAUCACUGUGAACCAAGAAGUACCUUCCUAGCAGAGGGGCUCAGCAGCAGUUGCAGCUGGGAAGCUGAUGAUUCCUCUGUAAGAUAUUCGGUGCUAGUUAUUGGCAAGAAUCAAAAGAUGUGAAGUGGGAGUUUAAAGAAGAAAAACAUCAUGAAGAUAUCAGGUCUUUCCCAACUUUUCCACAUCGUGCCAUUUUAUUCAAACAGACCAUGGUCAGACUUCCAAAAAGCAAAUUGCUAACUGACAGCUGGAUCCACCUCUACUAUAAAUUAUUGGACUCAAGAGCAAACUGGAAAUCCACCACAGGAUCAUCAAGCACAGUGGAGUUAGUUUGUAUUUACACUCUUGUAACCAAGCCGGGGAUUUGGUUUCCAGCAUUAAGGAGUCUUACAUAAAGCAAGAUUUGCUUUUCAUUAAGUUCCAUGUUGACAGACAUAAAUCCUCACUAUGAGUCCUUUCUAAUUUAUAUUUUGUUAGGAUAGGCUAGUACGCACAAUUUUUUUCCUAAUUCAUCUGCUGCAUUGUAAGGCUUUUAUUGUGCUUUAAAGUUGUUCCAGUAUUUUCAUCUGUGUUGUCAGCCUUCACCCCCCACUGGUCUUUUUCCCUAGAAAAUGUAGGUGACAAAUAUUCACAAACUCUGGUAAGAUCUGUGCCAAAGGGAAGGUUCAAACCAAUAAAGCUCUAGCCAGAAAGCUAUAUAGUGGGUGAACUGUUUGUUCACAAUUCCUAUGCCUCUUUUCCAUCUCAGACCUACUCAAACCUUCCUUUUUUUUUUUUUUUUUCCCUCCCUAUAUUCUGUUCAUAUUGCUGGAUGAAACCAAAAGGGAAAAGGAUAUAGCAGCACCCUCUUUAUUCACUCUCAUCAA